GAUGAACGCUGGCGGCGUGCCUAAUACAUGCAAGUCGAGCGAACAGACGAGGAGCUUGCUCCUCUGACGUUAGCGGCGGACGGGUGAGUAACACGUGGAUAACCUACCUAUAAGACUGGGAUAACUUCGGGAAACCGGAGCUAAUACCGGAUAAUAUAUUGAACCGCAUGGUUCAAUAGUGAAAGACGGUUUUGCUGUCACUUAUAGAUGGAUCCGCGCCGCAUUAGCUAGUUGGUAAGGUAACGGCCUACCAAGGCAACGAUGCGUAGCCGACCUGAGAGGGUGAUCGGCCACACUGGAACUGAGACACGGUCCAGACUCCUACGGGAGGCAGCAGUAGGGAAUCUUGCGCAAUGGGCGAAAGCCUGACGGAGCAACGCCGCGUGAGUGAUGAAGGUCUUCGGAUCGUAAAACUCUGUUAUUAGGGAAGAACAAAUGUGUAAGUAACUAUGCACGUCUUGACGGUACCUAAUCAGAAAGCCACGGCUAACUACGUG
rnacentral:rRNA from 1 species